rnacentral:rRNA from 1 species
GGGUUGUGAGGUUAAGCGACUAAGCGUACACGGUGGAUGCCCUGGCAGUCAGAGGCGAUGAAGGACGUGCUAAUCUGCGAUAAGCGUCGGUAAGGUGAUAUGAACCGUUAUAACCGGCGAUUUCCGAAUGGGGAAACCCAGUGUGAUUCGUCACACUAUCAUUACGUGAAUACAUAGCGUAAUGAAGCGAACCGGGGGAACUGAAACAUCUAAGUACCCCGAGGAAAAGAAAUCAACCGAGAUUCCCCCAGUAGCGGCGAGCGAACGGGGAGGAGCCCAGAGCCUGAAUCAGCAUGUGUGUUAGUGGAAGCGUCUGGAAAG